AUUGAACGCUGGCGGCAGGCCUAACACAUGCAAGUCGAGCGAGCGGCGGACGGGUGAGUAAUGUAUGGGGACUGCCCGAUAGAGGGGGAUAACUACUGUAAACGGUAUCUAAUACCGCAUACUAUCGGAUAACCCAUAUGUGUUUUGCUCUUAGGUGAGGUAAUGGCUCACCUAGGCGACGAUCCCUAGCUGGUCUGUGCGGAUGAUCAGCCAAACUGGGACGGAGACACGGCCCAGACUCCUAGGGAGGCAGCAGUGGGUAAUAUUGCACAAUGGGAGCAAGCCUGAUGCAGCCAUGCCGCGUGUAUGAAGAAGGCCCUAGGGUUGUAAAGUACUUUCAGUCGGGAGGCGUUACCGGCAGAAGAAGCACCGGCUAACUCAGUGCCAGCAGCCGCGGUAAUAC
rnacentral:rRNA from 1 species